rnacentral:rRNA from 1 species
GAUGAACGCUGGCGGCGUGCCUAAUACAUGCAAGUCGAGCGAACAGACGAGGAGCUUGCUCCUCUGACGUUAGCGGCGGACGGGUGAGUAACACGUGGAUAACCUACCUAUAAGACUGGGAUAACUUCGGGAAACCGGAGCUAAUACCGGAUAAUAUAUUGAACCGCAUGGUUCAAUAGUGAAAGACGGUUUUGCUGUCACUUAUAGAUGGAUCCGCGCCGCAUUAGCUGGUUGGUAAGGUAACGGCUUACCAAGGCGACGAUGCGUAGCCGACCUGAGGGGGUGAUCGGCCACACUGGAACUGAGACACGGUCCAGACUCCUACGGGAGGCAGCAGUAGGGAAUCUUCCGCAAUGGGCGAAAGCCUGACGGAGCAACGCCGCGUGAGUGAUGAAGGUCUUCGGAUCGUAAAACUCUGUUAUUAGGGAAGAACAAAUGUGUAAGUAACUAUGCACGUCUUGACGGUACCUAAUCAGAAAGCCACGGCUAACUACGUG